rnacentral:lncRNA from 1 species
CCCGACUUGCAGCUGACACCCGCCAUUGCACCGCCAGGCCUCGGCCAGCCGCAGACCCGAGCCAGAGACGCGCGGCUGUGACUAGGCCCCCCCCUCCGGCUCGCCCCUGCCCCAGCUCCGGGAGAAGCCGAAACCCCCCAGUCGAUGCCGCCGCCCACCCGCACGGAACUCCGGGGGCCCCUGCCCCUCGGCUUUGUUUCGUCGCUCGCCAGGACGCCGCCGGCUGGGCAGAAGCUGUCCGCCGCGGCGGUGCUGACGCGGGGAGUGGAGCCGGCGGGGGAGAGGGACUGUCCUCGGCGGCCGUGGUACUGAACCGGGACGGGAAGAGGAGAGGACCCCGCCGGGCGGGCGGCCCCAGUCCACCGGUGCAGGGCGGACCCCGGGAGGAGGACCCCGCCCGGCACGGCGGCUGGCCCCGAGGUGCUGCUGAACCGUGAAGGAGGGAGCCGUAGCGCCCUCCGCCUCGCCCCGGAAGAGCCGGCGGCGGCGGAGAGCUGCCGAGAGAGGGAGAGGCCGGAGGAAGCCGCCUUCGGGGAGCUCGGCAGCGCGGGGCCUAUGGCCAGGGUCUCUCCAGCGAACCCGCUCGCGCGGAGGACGGGGCGGCUCAGCCACAGGGAGCGAGCGCGCCUUCUACGAACCUGUUGGAGGCUGCAGCUCCUCCGCGGCCGACCAGGGCGCCCGGGACCGAGAUUCUGGCGCGCCUCUCCCUCCCCUCUUCCUUGCCUCCUCCGCCAAGGCGCUCCCUCCUGCCUGGGUUAGCACAUGUGCGCGCGGGGGGGCGCCGAGCCCCUCUUCUGUUCACCCCGAAUGUCAGCCGAGCUGCAGGGCACCGAGCCGAGAGGCCUCCCCCAAGGGCUGACCCGCUCCCAGGGAGACCCAAGCUUCCUGAGAAAAGAGGCGGGGGCUGGCGGCGGGGACGAGAGAGGGCGCCAGCAUAGGUGGCUGUGAAAUCAAGAGGGAGACUUGGGGAGUUCCCCACACACGCAGUUCUGCCUUGAAGUUUGGAGACUUAGGGGGGUCCCUCACUAGGGCAUCCUUUCUUGGAUCUCGAUCUCCCUCCCUUGCUCUUCCUCAAUUUCUGUGGCCAAAAAUCAAACCUAGGUCUUUAUUUACACCUACCUGUUCUAUUGCUGGCGCCACUCACUAGCCUUACUGCCUCUAGAACCUUAUUCUUGUUACCAACCCUGCCCCAGAGAGAUCUUUCUAAAAAUACGGUGUUUUUAAAGUCCUUCACCAGAAAGACCCAGUACCUCCUUUCUAUCUGUAUCAUGACCGAGGACCACUCAUUCUCAACAGGAUUUUCCCAGUGCCUUAGUACCUACUAUUUGUUCCCUUUGGCCGCAAUGUUCUUCCCCCCUUAUUCCUUAUGUUUAAUCUGUAAGCUAAAGUGUUUGCCUUCUCAGUGAAACUUUUCCCGUCCCCUGUGGCACAGUCUUCUGAGCCUCCCUCAGCUUUUACAUGCCUCUACUAGAUUUCCUAUCACAUCGUGUGACAAUUAUCUCUUCAUCUAUAUCCUCAACUGACCAGCUCAUGAAAACUGGCUCUAUAUUUUACUUUUCUCUGUAUCUCCGUCUGUAGCAUGACGAAUGACACACCAUAGACGUUCUAUUAAAUCUGCUGAAUGAAUCUACACAUGCAAGGCUCAAAGUAACUUCCUUUUCUUCAGGUGAUGGCUCAUUUGGUUUACAUAUUUUGACCACAGACUUCAAGGCCCCACAUGACAGCAUUCCUGCUUUAUCACCAACAACUCUUCUCUGAGUCAGAGACUUCCUCUAUCAUGACCUCCAUUUUAUACCAAGCUUCUUUUAAAAUUAAAAAAAAAUAUAUAUAUAUAUAUAUAUCUUUUUAUUUGCUAUUUUCUCAGCUUGAGGUCCUCAUUACCAUGACUCAUAUGGCCAAAUCUUGGCAUUUGGAUUUUAGUUCAAACGUCACCUCCUCAAAAAAGUCUUCUCCGACCAUCUACCUAAUAAUGCUUUCUAUCCCAAUCACUCUCUAACAUCAUUUCAAUUUUCUUCGGUGUUUAUUACUCUCUGAAAUUAUUGUGUAGUCAUCUCUCAGUAUCCAUGUGGGAUUGGUUCCAGGUGCCCCCACUGCUACUGCCAGACAAGGGGAGGUAGGAAUAAAUACAAGCUGUGGAGAAGGGUUUCAGAAGCUGAAUUGAACCUUGAAGGAUCCAGUGGGGAUCUGCAGUCAGACAACAGGGGGAGAAUGUUUCAGACAGAGGAAACAACAUUCAAGGGCCUUGUGUGAAAUUAAGGGACCAUGAGAGAUUUGAUGCAGAUGAAGUCCAAAACUGAUAUAGAGGAUAGAGGAUGGGAAAUUAGGCUGGAAUUGGCUUGGCCUCUGCUGCCAUGCCUCUAUCUCACAGACAGCAGAGAGUCUGCUUUAACAACUGCCAUCACCACCUUGAUCAUCCCUACAGUAACAACACUGGAUCAAUCCUUUACAAUUUGCAAAGUGCUUUCUGCUGACACUAGAAAUAUCACUCUGGAGUGAAGUAUGCCUGAAGCUCUGGGGGGGGGGGCACCAUACCUGUGGGCACAUACUUACUGUUCUGGAACACCUUAUAGAAAACUUGGACCAAUGAAAGUGUUCAGUGACUAUUUGUAGAAGUGGAAGAAACUGAGCACAAGGAGUCUAGUAUAGAGGCAGCUACAGUAGUAGUUCAAGUAAGAGAAGGAAUGAGAAGCAUCACUUAAUCCAUGAGUGUACAACUCUUUGGACUGUUGACCCUAGAAAGUAAAAAUUCACUGCUGUCUACCUCUGAGUACCCUGGGGAGGAGGCUGGGUUUAGCUUUCCGAAAUGAUUGCUGAAUUAUUUUAACAUUUUCCUCUCCCACAUACAGAAAAGCAUAUUGGCACGUAGGUGGCCAACACCCAGCCAAGCCAGGACUUCCUCUGUUUGAUAUCUUUUGACUCCUGGAUUGUGGUCUUGAUGGUCUCUAUUUUGUGGCAAUGAUAUUAUAUACCAUCAUUUGUUUGUAUGCUAAUGGUCGCUAUGUUAAUGAAACUCAGUCUUGGCUCAAGAACUAAAAUCUACCUUCUGUCUCUCUCCACCUCUGGGAGAUCCACAUGGACCCUGCUAAUGGCUAACUUACAGAGGACUGAUUUGUAUCAGUGUUACUCACUCUAUAACAGCCAUAAAUUUCUUUUUAUUCCUUGAAUAUACACCUCUCAUUCUCAGCUCCGGGUCAUGGCUCUUUUCAAGAAUGACUCUUCUCAAUAUUCAGACCUUGGUAUAAAUGGCUUUUUCUCAGAGAAGGUUAACCUGCCCGCAUUCUCUAAAAUAACUUCUUCUCACCCCAACUUAGACUACAUGGUUACCUUCUUUUAUUUUUGAUAACACUUGCUCUUUGAAAUGUCGUGUUUACUUUUUUGUUGCUUAUUUUCUGUUUCUUUCAGUGGAAUGCAAUCUCUAGGAGAGCAAGGAGCGUGUCUGUUGUGCUUAUCUCUGAACACACUGUCUUAGUCUGUUUGAGCUGCUACAAUUCCUGAAACUG